CACAGUAGUCUCUCUCUCAGUUUAGGAGGGUUGUCCUAAGAAUAGGACUUACUCUUAAAGGCACAAGAGG
ensembl:scaRNA